rnacentral:rRNA from 1 species
AUAGAAACAUUGAAACAUGGGUUCCCAUACAAUCACCAAAAUUAAGCAACAUUGAGCCUGGUCAGUACUUAGAUGUGUGACUGCUUGGGAAUACUAGGUGCUGUAAG